UACAGAGGGGGCAAGCGUUGUUCGGAAUUAUUGGGCGUAAAGAGCGUGUAGGCGGUUUGUUAAGUCUGAUGUGAAAGCCCUGGGCUCAACCCAGGAAGUGCAUUGGAAACUGGCAGACUUGAAUACGGGAGAGGGCAGUGGAAUUCCUAGUGUAGGAGUGAAAUCCGUAGAUAUUAGGAGGAACACCGGUGGCGAAGGCGGCUGCCUGGACCGAUAUUGACGCUGAGACGCGAAAGCGUGGGUAGCAAACAGG
rnacentral:rRNA from 1 species